rnacentral:rRNA from 1 species
UUAAAAGAAUUGGCGGAAGGGCACCACCAGGAUUGGGGCCUGCGGCUUAAUUUGACUCAACACGGGAAAACUUACCCGGCCCGGACACAGGCAGGAUUGACAGAUUAAGAGCUCUUUCUUGAUUCUGUGGGUGGUGGUGCAUGGCCGUUCUUAGUUGGUGGAGCGAUUUGUCUGGUUAAUUCCGAUAACGAACGAGACUCUAGCCUACUAAAUAGGCGUUCCGAUCCUAUUUAAAAUAGUCGGACGAUUUCUUCUUAGAGGGACAAGCGGCGUUUAGCCGCACGAGACAGA